rnacentral:rRNA from 1 species
CCUACGGGUGGCAGCAGUGAGGAAUAUUGGUCAAUGGGCUUACGCCUGAACCAGCCAAGCCGCGUGAGGGAAGACUGCCCUAUGGGUUGUAAACCUCUUUUGUCAGGGAGCAAUUGGCGCUACGUGUAGCGUUAUCGAGAGUACCUGAAGAAAAAGAAUCGGCUAACUCCGUGCCUGCAGCCGCGUUAUAACGAAGGAUGCGAGCUUUAUCCGGAUUUCUUGGGUUAAAGGGGUGCGUAGGGGGAAGGCAAAGUCAACGGUAAAAUAGAGGGGCUCAACCUCGCCCCGCCAUUGAAACUGGCGGUCUUGAGUGGAAGAGAGGUAUGCGGAAUGCGUGGUGUAGCGGUGAAAUGCAUAGAUAUCACGCAGAAC